GACGAACGCUGGCGGCGUGCCUAAUACAUGCAAGUCGAACGCUGAAGGAGGAGCUUGCUUCUCUGGAUGAGUUGCGAACGGGUGAGUAACGCGUAGGUAACCUGCCUGGUAGCGGGGGAUAACUAUUGGAAACGAUAGCUAAUACCGCAUAAGAGUAGAUGUUGCAUGACAUUUGCUUAAAAGGUGCAAUUGCAUCACUACCAGAUGGACCUGCGUUGUAUUAGCUAGUUGGUGGGGUAACGGCUCACCAAGGCGACGAUACAUAGCCGACCUGAGAGGGGGGUCGGCCACCCUGGGACUGGGACACGGCCCAGACUCCUACGGGAGGCAGCAGUAGGGAAUCUUCGGCAAUGGGCGGAAGUCUGAACGAGCAACGCCGCGUGAGGGAAGAAGGGUUUCGGAUCGUAAAGCUCUGUUGUAAGAGAAGAACGAGUGUGAGAGUGGAAAGUUCACACUGUGACGGUAUCUUACCAGAAAGGGACGGCUAACUACGUG
rnacentral:rRNA from 1 species